rnacentral:tRNA from 1 species
GGGGCUGUAGCUCAGCUGGGAGAGCGCCAGCUUUGCAAGCUGGAUGUCGUCGGUUCGAUCCCGAUCAGCUCCAC